rnacentral:piRNA from 1 species
UCAAAAUGUGCUUUGAGAUCCGCCUGUAAU